CCUACGGGGGGCAGCAGUGGGGAAUAUUGCACAAUGGGCGCAAGCCUGAUGCAGCCAUGCCGCGUGUGUGAAGAAGGCCUUCGGGUUGUAAAGCACUUUCAGCGGGGAGGAAGGCGGUGAGGUUAAUAACCUCAUCGAUUGACGUUACCCGCAGAAGAAGCACCGGCUAACUCCGUGCCAGCAGCCGCGGUAAUACGGAGGGUGCAAGCGUUAAUCGGAAUUACUGGGCGUAAAGCGCACGCAGGCGGUCUGCCAAGUCGGAUGUGAAAUCCCCGGGCUCAACCUGGGAACUGCAUUCGAAACUGGCAGGCUAGAGUCUUGUAGAGGGGGGUAGAAUUCCAGGUGUAGCGGUGGAAUGCGUAGAGAUCUGGAGGAAUACCGGUGGCGAAGGCGGCCCCCUGGACAAAGACUGACGCUCAGGUGCGAAAGCGUGGGGAGCAAACAGGAUUAGAUACCCCUGUAGUC
rnacentral:rRNA from 1 species